UUAGCCAAAUCGGUGUAUCGGUGUGUACUUUGAGGGAAUUAAAAUGUUGAAGUAGUUUUAUAUAAAUAAGUUAUUUUUAAAAGAGAGGUUUUAUUUCUGUACUUUUUGUAUCAUGGUUUAUAGAGUUUGAAAAUUUAUUAUUUUAUCCUGAAAGUUUUAGAGCUAACUGUUUUAUUGGUAGACACCUUAAGGGGCUGAUAAGAACUUCUUUCUCGUAAGUAGUGUUCUAGAAAUAAAUAUAAUGUUGCAUAAUUAUGUGUAAAGGGAUAGUUAGAGGUGAAAUGUCAUUCGGAAAAGUUGAUAGCUGGUUGAGAAGGAAAUGCAUCUACGUGCAGAAAAAACAUAUUUUAGAAUAAAAUUGUUUUGAUUGAGUUUAUUGGGGGUUAGCUCGAUAAAAUAUGUAAAAAGAUAGCUAAUUGAUGUUGAGGUCAAAUUACUCAUUUAUUAGUAGUUAUUUAGAUAUAGAUUUAUUAUCUUUUGUUGUUUUAGUACUUCUUUUAAUUUCAUAAUUAAGUAUUAUUAAAUUAGUAUAAAAUUAGUAGAAUAUAAUUUUCAGUUAGAUAUUUUCUGAAAAAAUAAUUAACAGUCCUGUUUAUCAAGAAAUCAGGAAUGGUAAAGGAUUACCUGUAAUUAAGUAAACUAGACCUUUAGGUUUAAGAAUAAAAAAUUGUUAGGAAGGAACUCGGCAAAAAAUUUUCUCGCCUGUUUAUUAAAAACAUGGCCCUUAGGUCAAAAAUAAUAAGGGUCGGCCCUGCCCGGUGGGGUGAGCUCUUAACGGCUGCAGUUGGUAGCUGUACUAAGGUAGCGCAAUAAAUUGCCCUUUAAUUGGGGGACGGAAUGAAUGGGUUGACGUGGGAAAAACUGUCUCUUUAACAACGUUCAAAAUUUUCUUUUUGGUGAAAAGGCCAAGAUAUUUGUAAAAGACGAGAAGACCCCAUGGAGCUUAAUUAAUCUCUGUUUAUCUAGCAGAGAUAAAGUUUUACUGGGGCAGUAGGGAUAUAAAAUUAACUAUCUAUAAAAUAAUAUAAAGGAUCCUUUAAAUAAAGUCGGAUGAAAAAGUUACCCUGGGGAUAACAGCGUUAUCUUCUUUUAGAGGACUAAUCGAAAAGAAGGUUUGCGACCUCGAUGUUGGAUUUGGGUAUCUGUCUGGUUGCAGGAGCUAGAGGAGUAGGACUGUUCGUCCUUUAAAACUCAACAUGAUCUGAGUUUAGACCGGUGUAAACUAGGUCAGUUUCUAUCUUUAUGAUUUUGAACUAUUGUACGAAAGGAUCCAGGUCAAAAGUUUGACUUGUUUGCUUAUUUUAAUAUAAUAUUAACGCAAGAUUAUACAGUCUAAAUUAAAUUAAUGAGAAAUAAUAAAGUAUGACAAUAAAGAGAAAACAUGUUUCAGGGUUAA